rnacentral:rRNA from 1 species
GGAUUCCCUCAGUAAUGGCGAAUGAAGCGGGAACAGCUCAAAUUUGAAAUCUCCGUCGCGUGCGACGGCGAAUUGUAGUUUCGAGGAGCACUUUCUCGGCGGGUCCGGAGCCGUCCAAGUUGCUUGGAACAGCACGUCAUAGAGGGUGACAACCCCGUCUGUGGCGGAGCCGGCCGCUCACGAUGUGCUUCCGACGAGUCGGGUUGUUUGGGAAUGCAGCCCAAAAUGGGUGGUAAACUCCAUCUAAAGCUAAACACUGGCACGAGACCGAUAGCGAACAAGUACCGUGAGGGAAAGAUGAAAAGCACUUUGAAAAGAGAGUUAAAAAGUACGUGAAACCGUUAAAAGGGAAACGAACGGGGUUAGCAAUGCGCCGUGCGAGAUUCAGCCGGCGGGAGGGUCGGACGGGCGGUUUGCGGAUCCGAACGGACCGCGGCCGUCCGCCUCGACCUCCCCCACCGUCGCACUUCUCGCCGGCGCGCGUCAGCGUCGGUUGGGACUGGGUCUCAAAGUCUCCGGCAAGGUGGGUCGCCGCUCUCGGGCGGCGAUCGUUAUAGGCCGGACUCGUCGAUGGCCCGGGCUCGACCGUGGAGCCGCGGCGCGCGCUCGCCCUCGCGGGCGGGCUGGGGUCCCGUCGCUUCGGUCGGCAGUCGACCGCGGUGGACUGCAUGCAGUGCGCCGCUACCGCUGUCGGUCGCGGCGGCGGUGACCUCACACCACGCGCCCAGGACGCUGGCGGUCACAUGGCCUCGUCCGACCCGUCUUGAAACACGGACCAAGGAGUCUAACAUGCGCGCGAGUCUUCGAGUGACCGAAACUCCCAGGCGGAAUGAAAGUGAAGGCGGCCCUAGCGCCGCCGAGGUGAGAACCCCGUCCCGCGGGGCGGGGCGCAUCAUCGACCGACCUAUUCUGCUCUCAGGAAGGUUUGAGUAAGAGCGUGCCUGUUGGGACCCGAAAGAUGGU